rnacentral:rRNA from 1 species
UCAAGUGACUAAGCGCACACGGUGGAUGCCUUGGCAGUCAGAGGCGAUGAAGGACGUUGGAGCUUGCGAAAAGUCUCGGGGAGGUAGCAACCAACCUUUGAUCCGGGAAUGUCCGAAUGGGGAAACCCACCCAAUGUAAGUUGGGUAUCUGCGACUGAAUACAUAGGUCGUAGAAGCGAACGCGGGGAACUGAAACAUCUAAGUACCCGUAGGAAAAGAAAUCAAUUGAGAUUCCCCCAGUAGCGGCGAGCGACCGGGGAAGAGCCUGCAUGUAAUAGCUUAUGGAUUAGUGGAACGGUCUGGAAAGUCCGGCGAUAGAGGGUGAUAGCCCCGUACACGAAAAUCUGAAAGUGGUACUGAGCAUGCGAUAAGUAGGUCGGGACACGUGAUAUCUUGACUGAAGACGGGGGGACCAUCCUCCAAGGCUAAAUACUCCUGACUGACCGAUAGUGAACCAGUACCGUGAGGGAAAGGCGAAAAGAACCCCGGAGAGGGGAGUGAAAUAGAUCCUGAAACCGUGUGCGUACAAGCAGUGGGAGCAGACUUGUUCUGUGACUGCGUACCUUUUGUAUAAUGGGUCAGCGACUUAUUGUCUGUAGCAAGCUUAACCGUAUAGGGGAGGCGUAGGGAAACCGAGUCUUAAUAGGGCGUUUAGUUGCAGGCAAUAGACCCGAAACCGGGCGAUCUAUCCAUGGCCAGGCUGAAGGUUGGGUAACACUAACUGGAGGGCCGAACCCACUAAUGUUGAAAAAUUAGGGGAUGAGCUGUGGAUCGGAGUGAAAGGCUAAUCAAGCCCGGAGAUAGCUGGUUCUCCUCGAAAUCUAUUUAGGUAGAGCGUCGUGUCUUACCCUGGGGGGUAGAGCACUGUUUGGGCUAGGGGGUCAUCCCGACUUACCAACCCCAUGCAAACUCCGAAUACCCAGGAGUACAAUCACGGCAGACAGACAGCGGGUGCUAACGUCCGUUGUCGAGAGGGCAACAACCCAGACCGCCAGCUAAGGUCCCUAAUACCAGUUAAGUGGGAAACGAUGUGGGAAGGCUCAGACAGCUAGGAGGUUGGCUUAGAAGCAGCCACCCUUUAAAGAAAGCGUAAUAGCUCACUAGUCGAGUCGGCCUGCGCGGAAGAUGUAACGGGGCUAAAUUGGUAACCGAAGCUGCGGAUGCAUGCUUGCAUGCAUGGUAGAGGAGCGUUCUGUAAGCCGUUGAAGGUGAACCGGGAGGUUUGCUGGAGGUAUCAGAAGUGCGAAUGCUGACAUGAGUAACGAUAAGGGGGGUGAAAAACCUCCCCGCCGGAAGACCAAGGGUUCCUAUCCAAUGCUAAUCAGGGUAGGGUGAGUCGACCCCUAAGGCGAGGCCGAAAGGCGUAGUCGAUGGGAAACAGGUUAAUAUUCCUGUACUUCUUGUUAUUGCGAUGGAGUGACGGAGAAGGCUAGGCCAUCACGGCGUUGGUUGUCCGUGUUUAAGGCUGUAGGCUGGGGAAUUAGGAAAAUCCGGUUCCCUAAGGCUGAGAGUCGAUGACGAGUCCUCUUUUGGACGAAGUGGUUGAUGCCAUGCUUCCAGGAAAAACUUCUAAGCUUCAGAUAACAAGAAAUCGUACCCCAAACCGACACAGGUGGUCAGGUAGAGAAUACCAAGGCGCUUGAGAGAACUCGGGUGAAGGAACUAGGCAAAAUGGUACCGUAACUUCGGGAGAAGGUACGCCCCUGACGGUGAUGAGACUUGCUCUCUAAGCUGUUGGGGGUCGAAGAUACUAGGUGGCUGCGACUGUUUAUUAAAAACACAGCACUCUGCAAACACGAAAGUGGACGUAUAGGGUGUGACGCCUGCCCGGUGCUGGAAGAUUAAAUGAUGGGGUGCAAGCUCUUGAUUGAAGUCCCAGUAAACGGCGGCCGUAACUAUAACGGUCCUAAGGUAGCGAAAUUCCUUGUC